GAUGAACGCUAGCGGCAGGCCUAAUACAUGCAAGUCGGACGGGAUCCAUUGAUAGCUUGCUAUCAAUGGUGAGAGUGGCGCACGGGUGCGUCACGCGUGAGCAACCUGCCUCCAUCAGGGGGAUAGCCUCUCGAAAGAGAGAUUAACACCGCAUAAUAUCAACAGUUCGCAUGUUCAGUUGAUUAAAUAUUUAUAGGAUGGAGAUGGGCUCGCGUGACAUUAGCUAGUUGGUAGGGUAACGGCUUACCAAGGCGACGAUGUCUAGGGGCUCUGAGAGGAGAAUCCCCCACACUGGUACUGAGACACGGACCAGACUCCUACGGGAGGCAGCAGUAAGGAAUAUUGGUCAAUGGGCGGAAGCCUGAACCAGCCAUGCCGCGUGCAGGAGGACUGCCCUAUGGGUUGUAAACUGCUUUUGGCCAGGAAUAAACCUAAAUACGAGUAUUUAGCUGAAUGUACUGGAAGAAUAAGGAUCGGCUAACUCCGUG
rnacentral:rRNA from 1 species